GACGAACGCUGGCGGCGUGCCUAAUACAUGCAAGUAGAACGCUGAAGGAGGAGCUUGCUUCUCUGGAUGAGUUGCGAACGGGUGAGUAACGCGUAGGUAACCUGCCUGGUAGCGGGGGAUAACUAUUGGAAACGAUAGCUAAUACCGCAUAAGAGUAGAUGUUGCAUGACAUUUGCUUAAAAGGUGCAAUUGCAUCACUACCAGAUGGACCUGCGUUGUAUUAGCUAGUUGGUGGGGUAACGGCUUACCAAGGCGACGAUACAUAGCCGACCUGAGAGGGUGAUCGGCCACACUGGGACUGAGACACGGCCCAGACUCCCACGGGAGGCAGCAGUAGGGAAUCUUCGGCAAUGGACGGAAGUCUGACCGAGCAACGCCGCGUGAGUGAAGAAGGUUUUCGGAUCGUAAAGCUCUGUUGUAAGAGAAGAACGAGUGUGAGAGUGGAAAGUUCACACUGUGACGGUAUCUUACCAGAAAGGGACGGCUAACUACGUG
rnacentral:rRNA from 1 species